GAUGAACGCUGGCGGCGUGCCUAAUACAUGCAAGUCGAGCGAACAGACGAGGAGCUUGCUCCUCUGACGUUAGCGGCGGACGGGUGAGUAACACGUGGAUAACCUACCUAUAAGACUGGGAUAACUUCGGGAAACCGGAGCUAAUACCGGAUAAUAUAUUGAACCGCAUGGUUCAAUAGUGAAAGACGGUUUUGCUGUCACUAUAGGUGGAUCCGCGCCGCAUUAGCUAGUUGGUAAGGUAACGGGUUACCAAGGGAACGAUGCGUAGCCGACCUGAGAGGGUGAUCGGCCACACUGGAACUGAGACACGGUCCAGACUCCUACGGGAGGCAGCAGUAGGGAAUCUUCCGCAAUGGGCGAAAGCCUGACGGAGCAACGCCGCGUGAGUGAUGAAGGUCUUCGGAUCGUAAAACUCUGUUAUUAGGGAAGAACAAAUGUGUAAGUAACUAUGCACGUCUUGACGGUACCUAAUCAGAAAGCCACGGCUAACUACGUG
rnacentral:rRNA from 1 species